rnacentral:rRNA from 1 species
UACGUAGGGUGCGAGCGUUAAUCGGAAUUACUGGGCGUAAAGCGUGCGUAGGCGGUUCUCCAAGUCCGUUGUGAAAGCCCCGGGCUCAACCUGGGAAUGGCAGUGGAAACUAGGGGACUGGAAUCUGGCAGAGGGGGGUGGAAUGCCGCGUGUAGCAGUGAAAUGCGUAGAGAUGCGGCGGAACACCGAUGGCGAAGGCAGCCCCCUGGGCUGAGAUUGACGCUCAGGCACGAAAGCGUGGGGAGCAAACGGG